GUGAAAUUGUGAUAACUCCUGGCACAACCAUUAAGACCCUCAUCUAUAGUGGACUGGAACAAAGCACAGAACUUAUAAAAAAGAAAAAAGUGCACAUUCAGUUUAAUGAGGUGUUAAUUCAAGGAAUGCUGUGAGAGUCAGAAGUUCUAAAUGCCAGUGUUUAAAAAGAUCCAUGUCACAGUGAUCUUGGGUAGGCUGGGACACACCAGCUCACUGACGGACCUGAAAAUGGAUUGCUGUGGGACUACAACCCUACUCAGGAUAUUCUGAGUUAUAAGUGGUAUGCUUGGUUGUUUUGUCUUACGUACAGGGAGGAGUCACCUAAGGUAAAAAAAAAUAUAUGUAUAAAUGCCUUGGAAGGGACAAAUGACUCAAUGUUUGGUCAGGGUUCUUGGAAGGUUUGACAAAAUGAGAUCAGAGAAUAGGAAUAUGGAUGGAUUUACAGGAGCGAGCAAAAUAUGUGUAUUUUUUGUGUUUUAUAUUAAUGCCCAGCAAACAUUACUCACUAUACAGGAAGCACUUAACAAUAAGCCAGGUAGACUAGUGUAUCUUUACUUGAAGGGAUCAUUACUUCUCAUACUUCCUGUUACUUGUAUGAUGAUUCCUUAAAAAGAAUCUAAAUUGUAAAAGGGAU
rnacentral:lncRNA from 10 species